rnacentral:rRNA from 1 species
AGAGCGAACGCUGGCGGCAGGCUUAACACAUGCAAGUCGAGCGGAAAGGCCCUUCGGGGUACUCGAGCGGCGAACGGGUGAGUAACACGUGAGCAACCUGCCCCUGGCUCUGGGAUAGCCUCCGGAAACGGGGAUUAAUACCGGACAUUCACUUUCUUCCGCAUGGUCGGGAGUGGAAAGUUUUUCGGCCAGGGAGGGCUCGCGGCCUAUCAGCUUGUUGGCGGGGUAACGGCCCACCAAGGCGACGACGGGUAG